UUCGCAAUGCCCGAAAGGGUGACGAAGCGACGCCGCGUGUGGGAAGAAGGCCUUCGGGUUGUAAACCACUGUUGGGAGUUAGGAAGUGUGGAGGUGUUAAUAGCGCUUUCACUUGACUAAAGCUCCAGAGGAAGCCACGGCUAACUCUGUGCCAGCAGCCGCGGUAAUACAGAGGCGGCAAGCGUUGUUCGGAAUUAUUGGGCGUAAAGAGCACGUAGGCGGCUCUGCAAGUCAGCUGUGAAUGCCUUCUGCUUAACGGAAGAACGGCAGUUGAAACUACAGGGCUUGAGUACGGGAGGGGAGAGUGGAACUUCUGGUGGAGCGGUGAAAUGCGUAGAUAUCAGAAGGAACGCCGGCGGCGAAAGCGGCUCUCUGGUCCGUAACUGACGCUGAGUGUGCGAAAGCUAGGGGAGCAAACGGGAUUAGAUACCCCGGUAGUCCUAGCCGUAAACGAUGGGCACUAAGUAGAG
rnacentral:rRNA from 1 species